GAAAUGCGAUAAGUAAUGUGAAUUGCAGAAUUCAGUGAAUCAUCGAAUCUUUGAACGCACAUUGCGCCCGCCAGUAUUCUGGCGGGCAUGCCUGUUCGAGCGUCAUUACAACCCUCAGGCCCCCGGGCCUGGCGUUGGGGAUCGGCGGAAGCCCCCUGCGGGCACAACGCCGUCCCCCAAAUACAGUGGCGGUCCCGCCGCAGCUUCCAUUGCGUAGUAGCUAACACCUCGCAACUGGAGAGCGGCGCGGCCACGCCGUAAAACACCCAACUUCUGAAUGUUGACCUGGAAUCAGGUAGGAAUACCCGCUGAACUUAAGC
rnacentral:misc_RNA from 1 species